rnacentral:lncRNA from 1 species
CUUUACAUAUACUAUCAUAUUUCUUAGAUCAUAUUUUGAUCAUAUUUCCUUAAUCUUCAUGUAAGACACUAAAUGGCUUUAUAGAGCUCAGAGUCCAUAAAUAAUCUUUUUAUAGUAAAAUAAUCAUAAAUCAUUUAUAUUAAAUCAGCUAUUUUUGUUAAAGAUCAUAAUUUAUAAUCAGACCAUAGUCUCUUUUUUUAUAGCAAAAUAUGAUUUUUGAUAAUUUAGAGAUAAAAAUUGAUA